rnacentral:sRNA from 1 species
GGGCGAGUCCAGCUCCGGCCGCCAUGGCGGCCGCGGGAAUUCGAUUAUCCCCUUUCCAUGGUAGGAUACAGGCCGACCCUGGUGGUAACGGGUAACGGGGUGUUAGGGCACGACACCGGAGAGGGAGCCUGAGAAACGGCUACCACAUCCAAGGAUGGCAGCAGGCGCGCAAAUUACCCAAUCCCGACACGGGGAGGUAGUGACGAUAAAUAACAAUACGGGGUUCUUUCGGAUCUCGUAAUUGGAAUGAGUACAAUUUAAAUCUCUUAACGAGGAACAAUUGGAGGGCAAGUCUGGUGCCCGCAGCCGCGGUAAUUCCAGCUCCAAUAGCGUAUAUCAAAGUUGUUGCAGUUAAGAAGCUCGUAUUUGAAUUUCGGGGUUAGUAGGCUGGUCGUGCCACCGGUACGUACUGGUCUUACUGAUUCCUCCUUCCUGAUGAACUGUAAUGCCAUUAAUUUGGUGUUGCAGGAAAUCUGGACUGUUACUUUGAAAAAAUUACAGUGUUUAAAGCAGGCUAACGCUUGAAUACAUUAGCAUGGAAUAAUGAAAUAUGACGUUCCAUCCUACUUUGUUGGUUUCUAUGAUUGACCUACUGAUUAAUAGGGAUAAUUGGGGGCAUUAUUAUUCAUUUGUCAGAGGUGAAAUUCUUGGAUUUAUUGAAGACUAACUACUGCGAAAGCAUUUGCCAAGGAUGUUGUCAUUACUCAAGGACGAAAGUUAUGGGAUCGAAGACCAUCAGAUACCGUCCUAGUCUUAACCAUAAACUAUGCCGACUACGGAUCGGAUGAUGUGAAUUAUUUAAUGACUCAUUCUGCGCCUUACGGGAAACCACAGUGUUUGGGUUCAAUCACUAUUGAAUUCGCGGCCGCCUGCACGUCGACCAUAUGGGAGAGCUCCCAAAGCGUUGGAUGCAUAGCUUGAGUAUUCUAUAGUGUCACCUAAAUAGCUUGACGUAAUCAUGGUCAUAGCUGUUUCCUGUGUGAAAUGUGUUAACCGCUCACACUUCCACACAACAUACGAGCCGGAACACAGAGUGUAAAGGCUGGGAGUGCCUGAAUGAGCUGAGCUAACUCACAUUCAUCUGCGUUAGCUGCUCACUGCCCCGCCUUUCCAGUCUGGCAAACCUGUCAAUGCCAGCUUGCACUAAAUG